UAUUUUCUCACACAUGGGGAAUGAGCGCGCAUGCGCAUUACAUCCACAGGAAUAAUUAAAGGGUGUGUCCAAAGAGAUCAAUUUUACAAAUGGCUACUGUACUGCUAGCUAGCUGUUUUAACAGAUAUUUUCUGAGUAUUGUAGCUAACAAAAAGCUAGCGCUUUAGUGCAAGGCUAACUCAUAUGUUGAAUAGAAAGUUUGUGCGGACAGAUGAUGCUAUGAAAGAUUCUGAAGAGACUGCAACAGCCUUCAAUACAGACACACACACAGUCAGCUUUACCGUAUCCCUCGUGCGGCUACGCCUCGAGGCAUAAUUAUAUUGACUAAUAUAAUAAUCUAGAUGAUGCGUCAAGUCUACAGCCAGUCUCCUCUUCAAGAGAACCACCAGCCACCAUCGUCUCUCCUCCAGUCAUCAACGUCUCUCCUCCAGUCACAACCAUCUCUCCUCCAGUCACAACUAUCUCUCUACUGAAACCACCAGCCACCUCCAUCACCCCUCCGUGUUCAUCGAAGCAAGCAACGAGAUCUUCCGCUGAGGAUCAGCCAAUGGACAUUGGUUGCUCUCCUGAAAGAGAAGAAAGUGCAAUCACUAUCCCAGAGCAUGAGAAUGGCUUUGCCUUGUGUUCUUUCAGAUAUUAUAAUAAUUGUUUUUGUUGAAGGGGAAUGUGGUUAAUUAAUGGGCGUGGCAUGUAAAAGGGGGCGUGGUCAGCCAAAAAUUUCGGCGCUACGCGCCGAGUGACACUUCUGGUCCGUGGGAAAAGAACCCCCCUUCCCUAAAUCCUGGAUCCGCCCCUGACACUGUACGCUUAACUAUACACUUGUCCCCUUUGAAUACGUAUUAGUAAAACCAGUAGGUUUUACAUAGGAUUGGCAGUGGGUUUGCCCGUGUUUAGCAAUAUUUCAAUUAUUUUGACUCAUGUUCAAACUGUUCUAUCUCUGCAGGGAAAGGCCACAUCAAGAAACUGGCUGAACAGAUAGUUUAUUUAGCCUUUUCUCUCUUUGUAUCUCUCAUUUCAUAAUCCAUAAACAUUUUAAUGAAUGAAUAUUUUCAUUUUAAAAAUUGCACUAUUUCAACGUUUCACCGCUCUUUGUCUGAC